UACAGGGGGUGCAAACUUUGCUCGGAAUCAUUGGGCGUAAAGCGCACGUAGGCGGUUCGUUAUGUCGGAUGUGAAAGCCCUUGGCUUAACCGAGGAAGUGCAUCCGAAACUGGCGAGCUAGAGUACGAAAGAGGAUCGCGGAAUUCCCGGUGUAGAGGUGAAAUUCGUAGAUAUCGGGAGGAACACCGGUGGCGAAGGCGGCGAUCUGGGUCGAUACUGACGCUGAGGUGCGAAAGCGUGGGGAGCAAACAGG
rnacentral:rRNA from 1 species